GGAGUCUGGAAGGGCAAGAAGAGAGGAGUCACAGACAAGGCCUGAGGACAUCUGCACACACGUACACUGCACCUGCCUUUGUCAGAAGGAAGAAGGUUCAGAAAUGUUUCAUUUGUUCCCCAUGUGAAGAGAAAAACCAGAGGACCCCCUGAGGCCUUGUACAGUCACCGCCUGUAGGAAGAGAGUGGUAAAUAUGAAGAGGUACCUUUUUUUUUUGGCCGUACACGGGCCUCUCACUGUUGUGGCCUCUCCCGUUGCGGAGCACAAGCUCUGGACGCGCAGGCUCAGCGGGCCCAGCCGCUCCGCGGCACGUGGGAUCUUCCCGGACCGGGGCACAAACCCGCGUCCCCUGCAUUGGCAGGCGGACUCUCAACCGCUGCGCUACCAGGGAAGCCCAAGAGCUACCUUUUAUUAGCACAGAAAAGAAGAGAUGGAGCCAAACCCAAACAGUAGGGAGAAAGUGUAGCACAUAGUUAAAGCAACCCUAUUAAAAAUCAGAAUAGGCGGAAUGAGCAUGUGCAGUUUAAGUACGAACUGUUGUCUGAGUCAUGGUGAGAAGCAUAUCUGUGCCUAAUGUUUUCAGCAAGAAAGAGCAAAUGAAUAUAUGCUUGCUUUGUGUUCUGUUUGUUGUUAUGUAACCAGUUAAAGUCAAGGCUCUUACACUUAGAAGUGUUUUCUGAGUUAGGUUUGCUGCAGCCAAAAGAAAGAAAGAAAGAAAACCCACACACAAGAAUUAUUGAAAUUGCAAUCAUAUUUUGGGAUGUUAUAAAUGCCCAAGACAGCUUUGAGAACAGGAGGAAAAGUAGAGAACUUGUGCAAGUAUUUGCAGAGUUUCAUUCUCUCAUUACACAUUUUUCAAUCAACUUGUUAUAAUAUCAUUUAUAUGCAUCCAUUUACAGUGUAUAGAUCUGGGGACUUCCCUGGUGGUCCAGUGGUAAAGAAUCUGCCUUACAAUGCAGUGGACAUGGGUUCGAUUCCUGGUCAGGGAACUAAGAUCCCACAUGCCACAGGGCAAGAGCCCACGUGCCACAACUACUGAGCUUGCGCACCUCAACUCAAGAGCCUGCGUGCCCACGUGCUCAGGAGUCUGCGUGCCACAACUAGAGGAGGGAAAACCCACAGGCCACAACUAGAGAGAAGCCCACGUGCUGCAACGAAGAGCCCGUGCAUCACAACGAAAAAGAUCCCACAUGCCUCAGCGGAGGUCCCGCGUGCUGCAACUAAGACCCGAUGCAGCCAAAAAAAAAAAAAAAAAAAAAAGUGUACAGUUCUGAGCAUUUUGACAAAUGUAUACACCCAUGUAACUACCACCAUGAUAAAAAUCCUAUUUCCUUUUCCCAAAGAAGUCCCUGACCCUCCCCAGUCACUCCUCAUCUUGAGGCAGGAGAUAGAUGGGCCCCAGGCUGAACAGCUGAAGUUUCUUUCCUGUGGACAGAAACUCCAUAACAGCAGGAGCGAGAGAGGAGGCUGGACCCUGCCCAGAUAAGAGAUAAAAAAAAACCCACAUAUUCCUCGUUCUCAAAGUCAAAGAGACCUUCCCGACUACACAUGUGCAGAAAGGCUCCUUGGGGGUCAAAAAGGGAGGGGGCGCCACCCCAUAGUAGGUGAUGUCAACCUUCCCACAGGCCUCUUCGCUAGAAUCCACCUUGGCUAAGAGAUGUGCCCACACUCAUGGGAGGACCCUGAGAUGUACCAAAUACAGACUCAGAAUCAGGCAAAGCAAGAUGACUGGCCAAAGGAAACCUGGAAGAAAUGCCCCAUAAAAUUGAUUCAAACUACCAUGAGGGCGUGACUUUCUCUCUGAGCCCGCCCGGGUGUCUAUCCACACGUACACUUUUCCUCCUAAUAAACACUUCACUUGCUUCACUACUUUCCGUCUCUAUGUGGAAAUUCAUUUCUACACAGCUGACGGGCCAGGGCCUUGUCACUGGCCACUGGUCCCUGGUGGUCUAGUGGCUAGGAUUCAGCGCUCUCACAGCUGCGGCCUGACCUCAGACUCUGGCGGGGAACAGAAAGCCCGCUUCAAGCCUCUGCAGGCCGAGGCCACCCGAGACCCUCUUCCUCCCUGUGCCCUGUUUCUGCCACACAGUCUAGAUUUGCCUUUUCUAGUUUCAGAUGACCAGAAUAUGCAGUAUGUACUCUUUGGGGGCUGGCUUCUUUCUCUCAGCAUAAUACUCUAGAGAUUCAUCCAUGUAUCUUGGUUGUAGCAUGUAUUAUACAUACAACAACACCUUGAACUUUGUGAUAACACUGUACCCAGCAUUCAGUUCUCAGACGCUCCAAAGAUUCCCCAGUCCUGGAGUAGGACAACCACUUGGCCCUGCGUCUAGCUAAGGCUCCUUCGCACAAACUUGGUACAGAGGCUGUUCACUCAACCAGCCCUUCCCAAGCACAGAUUCUGAGGACUUGUCAUUAGAGGUUUCUCAAAAUAAAAUUGCUUUUAAUCCUCUUUACCUAAAAGGAGAAAAGCAGACAAACACCAAAGCAUGUGAUGUGUGAGGUAUUUAAGCUACAGGGUAGAUUCAGAAAAUCGGAAAUAAUAUGAUACUAUAGUUUCGAAUAUGUCACAAAGCAGAAAGGAGCUGGGAAUAGGAAAGGAAACAUUAAAAGUCAAACCAUUUGGAAAGCAGGGCUGUGUGGUGGCCACGUGAUAUCCAAGAAGAGGGAGGAAUUAGGGAAGCCCUGGUCUCCCCCAAGUCCACUGCAGGCAUGUGCUCCCGUGGUCCAACUCCCAGGUGGCAGGCCCCUCACUGCGGCAGGAACAACAGUCUCUGCCCUACAGAGACUUCUGCUUCUGCUCAGUAACUCCUGCCGUCAAGAGCACCUCCGUUCCCUCACCUCGUCGACCUGUUAUUAAACUGGGAAGGGACCCCUUGACCAUAGAGCGUUUCCUCAGCUCUGUCAUAGCUCGAUGUCACCUCACAGACUCAUAUGGGCAUCAAUAUUCACGUUUCAGGCCCAGGGAAUUCCAAAGUCCCAAAUUCCAAAUGACCAGUGAUCUGGACAUUGACUACGCCAAGAUGUCAGAGGUCUCACUCCUGACCCCACCCCCUGCUCAGCAUGGUGACCCAGGACACUGCCAGUUAAAGGAACUGUACUCCCUGCCUUGGUCUUGAUGACAGUCAAGCCUUUCUUUGACUUCCAGAGUCAGGUGUCUAGUUGAAGCUGAGCUGGUUAAGACUGCAUGGGACCCCGACCCUUCAACGGGACCUGCUCCAGUGUCCGCUCAGUGACCUUUUGAAUCUGCAGAGGCUCAGCUUAGUUAUGGCUGCACAGAACUGCGAUUAUCAUACCUUUUUCCAAUCAUCUUUCCCCACGCUGUAUUCUUUAGCCCCUAAAUACCCCGAGGCCCGCUUUCGGGAGGCGGAUUUGAGAUUUGGUCUGCAGUCUUCACGCUUGGCUGCCUGACAAAAUAAACGAAUAAACAGUCUCUUAGGGCUUUCCUGGUGGCGCAGUGGUUGAGAGUCCGCCUGCCGGUGCAGGGGACACGGGUUCGUGCCCCGGUCCGGGAAGAUCCCACAUGCCGCGGAGUGGCUGGGCCCGUGAGCCAUGGCCGCUGAGCCUGCGCGUCCGGAGCCUGUGCUCCACAAUGGGAGAGGCCACGACAGUGAGAGGCCCGCGUACCGCAAAAAAAAAAAAAAAACCAAGAGUCUCCUGCUGCAAGCCUCCCGUCAGCGUUUUGGCUUGCUGGCAGACAGCAAAACGGACCUGGUUCUGUAACACUGUUUCAUAAGUGUUCCAUGGGUGUUUGAAAAGAUCGUGUAUUCGCUGCUUGUUCAUUCAGGAUUUAAUAAUAGCUCAUCAAGCUUGUUCAGUGUUAAAUCCUUGUCAAAUCCUCAUAAUUUGACUAGUUUUUCAUCUGCUAUUAAGUACAUUGAAAUCACCCCCUGUAGAGCUGCGUUUGUCAAUUUCCUCUUUUAAUUCUGUCAUCUUUCAGUUGACACGUUUCAGUGUUAUGUUAGUAGGUGCAUAAACAAGUUCUGGCUCUUUUUAUUAUUUCUUAGUAACUCUCUUUAUCCCUAAUAAAAGUUUCUACUUUCAAGGCUGUCUUCUCUAAUAAACCUACAUCAACUUUCUUUGGGUUAGUAUUUGCCUAGUAUAUAUUUUUCCAUUCUUUUUUUCCCAGUCUUUCUAUGUUCCUUAGGUGUGUUUUUCAUAACUAACAUAUAGAUGGGUUUUCAAGAUCCAACAUUUCAAUCACUCAACCAGAGAGUUUAACCAGCGAGCAUUUAUUUGGGUUUCUAUCUAUCACCCUAGUUCAUUGUUUUUAGCUCCACCCCACCUUUUUUUCCCCUGGGAAUUUCCUUUUUUUUUUUUUAAUGUGAACUCAACAGUGGUUUGUUUAAGAGCAUAUGUUUAAAGGAAUGUAGAGCUCUGAGAAACUGCUCCCGGGCUAUAGUCCUCAUUUUGCCCCAAAUGAAACUUAGCUCACAGCUCUGACGUUGUGCAUUUUUCUAAGUUGACACUGCCUUCCUUUCUUUCUUCUCUCCUCCUUCUCUCCCUUCCUUCCUUCCCUCCCUUUCACUAUCUUUUUUACAAUCUUAUUGAGGUAUAAUUGACAUAAGUAACUGCACAUAUUUCAAGUGUACAGUUAAAGUUUGUGUGAAACCGUCAUACAUCUGUGAAACCAUGACCACGAGCAAGAUAGUGAACAUUUCUCUUGCUUCCAAAGAUUCCCUCAUGCUUCUUUAUAAUCCCUCCCUCUCAUCUCCCCUCCAUCCCCAGGCGAUCUUUAUCUGCUUUCUGCUACUAUAGAUUAAUUUGUAUUUUCUAGAAUUCCAUAUAAAUGGAAUCAUACAGUAUGUAUUUUUUGUCCGGUUUUUUUCACUCAGCACAAUUAUUUUGAGAUUCAUCUAUGUUGCAUGUGUCAAUAACUGGUUUUAUUGCUAAGUAGUGUUCUGUUGUAUAGAUAUACCACAAUGUGUUUAUCCACUCACUGCUGAGGGACAUUUGAGUUGUUCCCAGUUUUUGGCUUUUCAAAUAAUGCUGUACAAUUCUGUACAGACAUGUGCUUCAUUUCUCUUGAGUCAAUACUGAGGACUGGAAUGACUGGGCCAUAUGGUAGGGGUAUAUGUUUAAUUUCUUAAGAAACUGCAAACUGUUCUCCAUCCCCUUUUAUACCACCCCCAGCAAUAUAUGACAGUCCAGAUGUUCCACUCCCUUACCCACAUCUGCUAUUGUCAGUUUUGUUAAUUUUAGCCAUCCUAGUAUGUGUGAAGCAGUAUCACAUUGUGGUCUUAAUUUGCAUUUCCCUAAUGACAUAUGAUGUUGAGCAUCUUUUUGUAUGCUUUUUUCUAUCUGUACAUCUUCUCUGUGAAGUGUCAGUUCAGAUUUUUUGCCCACUAAAAAAUACUGGGUUGUGUUCUUAUUAAGUUGUAAGAAUUCUUUAUAUAUCCUAGAUACAAGUCUUUUGUUGGAUAUAUGUUUUGCAAAUAGCUUCGUCCAGCCUGCAGCUUGCCUUUUUAUUAACACUGUUUUUUAAAAGCAAAAGGUUUUAAUUGUGAUGAAACCCAAUGCAUGGAUUUCUUUUUUUCAGAUCAUGUUUUUUGUGUGUGUCUAGUUUUAAAAACUUUGCAACCUAAAGUCACUAACUUUUUCCUGUCAUUUCUUCUAGACUGUGGUAGACAGAAUAAUGCCCCUUUUCACUGAAGGAUGUCCAUGUUCUAAUCUCUUCUGGAGGCUAUGAAUGCCUAGGGCAAGAGGGACUUUGCAGAUAUGCUUAUGUUAAAAAUCUUGAGGAGAUUAUCCUGGAUUAUCUGGGUGGGCCCAAUGUAAUCACAAGAAUCCUUAUAAGAGAAACACCGAGGCAGGAGAGUCAGGGAAGGAGAUGUGAUGCGGGAAGCAGAAAUCAGAGUGCCCCAAGGAGGGGCUACAAACCAAGCAAUGUGGGCAGCUUCCAGAAGCUGGAAAAAGCAAGUAAAGGGAUUCUCCCCUAAGAGAUUAGAUCUCAAAUGUUAUCACAACAAAAAAGAAAUGAAAAUUCCCCCCCUAGAGUCUCCAGGAAGGAGCAUGGCCCUACUGACACCUUGACUGUGGCCCAAGUGAUUGUCUGACAGUGCGAGUGUGUAGCAGUGUGGCAUGAGCAGGAGGCCAGUGUAACACGUAACCAUGACGCCUUCUAGAAAAAGGACCUGGGCUUCUCUAGGGGCAGAGGUCUGUUUUUCUCUCUUGCCUUAGUCUACAUUUCUGUCAAUGGCUCCACAACACCAAGUGUGCUUAUCUUACUAGAUUUUGGGGAAGAUGAAGUAAGGAUAUCAGAGCCCUCUGAAAAUUCUAAAUGUUCUCCUAAACUCUAAGAUAUAUUGACCACCUCAUGUUAACCAUGGAGACUAAACACCCCAUUCUGUCAGUUCUCUUCACACCAGCUUGCUCACAAAUACCUUGGGGACAGAAAUUAUAUAUCUUGCUAUCAUAUGUCUUGUUAUCCCCCAUAGUAUCUAGCAGAGGCUUGGUACAGAGUAAACACAAAGAAAAUAUUGGAGAAAUCUAGAACUAUACAGAAUCACCACUGCAACGAUGAUUAUUAUAACUCUGUGGCUGUGAGCAUAUAAGCAUUUUAUAUCCACAGGACAUUUUCCCAAAUGUGAUAUUCAAAGGUACAUUCAGAUUUACAUGCACGUCUUCCAAUUAUUGUGUGCACUAGAACUGUGCCAACAGAUACAGUAUCUUCUUGUUUUGAGUUUUUCAAUUUGUGUGAGAAUAUUUUAAUACAGAAAUGAAAUAUUUUAUUAUUCUACUUGAGAAGUUUUUGUUGCUGUUUUUGUGGGUUUUGUUUGAUUUUUUGUUUUCUUUAGGAAACUCACUCAAAUAAUUGGAAUUAAACUGCAGUUCCUUUGAAGCCUCUGGCGAGAGGGGUGACUGUCCUUGAGGUCGUCUUCUGGUGGUUCAGGAGGCACCGUGAUCCCUCCAGGGCAUAGCUCAGGGCAUGGCACACGAAUGGGGUGCUGUUGUCAAGGCCCAGUGGGAAGUUGACAUAUACAUCCACCCUGCCCUAACAGAACAUUUCAACUGGGGAAUGCCUGCCACAAAAAGAAGACUAAAUCAGAUCCAGAAUCUUGUAAUACCUAAAAUGUCCUGGAUACAACUGCAUAUCGCUGGUCAUACCAAGAAUGAGAAAAUCACUACAAGAAUGAGAAAAGGCAAUCAACAGAUACCAACACCAAGAUGAAUCAGAUGUCAGAGUUAUUUGACAAGGAUUUUAAAGCAGUCAUCAUAAAAAUGCUUCAAUAAGCAAUUAUGAAUUUUCUUGACGCUAAUGUAAAAUAGGAAACCUCGGCAAUAGAAAAAAAAAAUUUUUUUAAUAAAAAAGAACCAAAGUGGAAAUUACUGAACUGAAAAACACAAUAACAGAAAGGAAAAAUCUGCUGGAUAGGCUCAGUAUAGAGUGGAGAUGACACAGUGUAGAAUCAAUAAACUUGAGGACAGAUCAACAGAAUUUUCCCAAUCUGAGCAAUAGAGAGAAAUUAGGUUGCAAGAGUAUUAACAGUCUUGGGGAGCUGUGGGAUCCUAGUAAAAGGGUAUCAUCAGAGUCUCACAUGGAGAGGAGACAGAGCAUGGGACUGAAAAAUUAUUCUAAGAAAUAAUAGCUGAUGAUUUCUCAAAUCUGGAAAAAGACAUAAACCUACAGAUUUGGGAAGCAGAGAAAACUUUAAGUAGGAUAAACAGAAAGAAUUCCAUGCCAAGUCACAGCAUAAUUGAACUUAUAGAAACUAAAGACAAAGAAAAAAAUCCCGAAAAUAGCCAGAGACAAAUGACACUUUUUACAGCUGGCCACACAAAUUGAAUGACAGUGGAUUUCUCAUCUAAAACUAUGGAGGUGAGAAGGAAGUGGGUAUUUUUCAAGCACUGAAAGAAAACAACCUGUCAACUGAGAAUUCUACAUCCAGAGAAAAUAUCUUUCAAGAACAAAGAGGAAAUAAGGACACUACAGAAGACAUAUAAAUGGAGAAAUAAUCCAUGCUUAUGAAUUUUUCACACUUUGGCCAAGCACUGAUUCAUGGCUUUUAAUGUGGUGAGUUAGUAAUGCUAUGAGCCAUCUCCCCACCCUGUGAAUGGCAGGAUUCCAGAAUAUCACCAAAGAUGUGGAAGAAACAAUUGAGCUAAAUCAGAAUGAGUGACCCUUCAGCAACGUCUGAUCCUCCUACUGGGAGACUAUGCUUGGUUUUGGUAUCUAUAAAAUUCACCAUUUUUUAUGAAUUUUCUUUUAAAAUUCUAUCUUUACAAAGCCCAGACCAGUUUAUAUAAAUACGGGGAGACUCACCUGAUCUCCUCAUCCUUUGAACAUAUAUAAAAAUUAUACCACUUUAUAGCCUAAAUUAUAUAUCAUUGUAGGGCAUCUGUUUUUGGUUACAUUGCUAAUGACCUUUAAUGGUUAUUUCAUUUAUUAUAUAUAUUCUGUCCCCAUAAACUCUUUGCUGAAAGGGUCUAUUUCUAGUUCAUUGUUUUAAUCCUGAAUACACUGUGACUGGCAAAUAGAAGGUACUAAAAAGAAAUCUUCAUGAAGGGACUGAUUAUUAUACUUUUUCAAAUUUCAAAUAAAAUAUAUAUUAUUGCUUAAAAUGAUCUAAUGCCUAGGGAAUCCUCGUUUGGUUAAUAAAUAAAUGUACCUACCAGAUACUCAGUGGCUUAAGGAGAGCAAAUUUUAUUUCAUAUCACAUUUCAACUCUCAUUGACUGGUAAUGGCUGCCAGAAAUAUAUUGAGGAGAAGGACUUAAGGCCUCUAGAAGAAAUGAGUGCCAUGCUCACCUAGCAAGGUCUGCUGGGAUGAGGGAGGAAGAUAUCAUCUAUCCCUCACCCCAGCCCUUACUCUAAUUAAAAUAUGCAGCAAGGGGGAAAUAUAUUGCUUAUGUGGUUUAUAUUGAAACUUCCUUGAAAAUCUGUUUCUAUUGCAUUAAAAAGUUUUUUCAUAUGGUGGGAAGAACAGGAACGUUGGGGAUCCACAGGCCUGGGCGCUCACAGCUGCUCUGCGUUUCUCUGUUUCCCCAACAAGCACUCUCCCCUCCGUCCUCCACAGGCUCUUAGACCUUCUCUUUGCCCAGUUCUCCUGCUCUAUUACUUCUCCUCAUCUUUUCCAGACGACACACUCACCUCCUCCUUCACAGAGACUAGAAACUGGUCACUCAGGAAUACCUUCAAACUCUUGUCUCCAAUCCUUUACGUUUUCCUGAAGCUUCACUCACCCCCUUCUCCUUCCUGGUACAAAUUUAGUCCUGUUCCCUUCUUCCUGUCUGUGGUCCAGAUCACACCGUGUCCUGCUCACCCAGGCCCUCCUAACUCCACUGAUUAUCCUGUCUUCUCUGUAUGUUCACCUUUCCACUGGCUUCUUCCCAAUAGCACUUCAACAUAAUCUUUGUUCUUUCAUUUAAAAUAAAACCCAAGAAAAAUAAAAUAAAGUGCCAUGUGCAAAGAGAAAAUAAAAUAAAAUAAACCCC